AAACACUCCCCCACGCCACUCCACCCACUUUCUCCACCACCACACCACCACAGCCCCUACCAAAAAAAUCCCCAAAUCUGAUGUUGGGCGCACAAAAACCACUGAUACCACUGCCUGUAUCAACAAAAUCACCUUCACCACUACAUCCAACAACGCCACCUUUAGAUCCAUCGUCGAUCCAACAAAACCCACCUUCAUCGCUAGAUCCACUGCCAUCGCCACCAACAAAUACCAC
rnacentral:lncRNA from 1 species